CUUUGUUUUAACUUUCAUCUGUGCUAAGUAACUUUAGCUCGUAAGCUAACCCGUUCAGAUACAACAUACCAUAUGUAUUUUCACUGUCUUAAACUCAAUCACGUUGCUGUCACAGCACCAUUAGGUCUCGGUUGUUACCUUACGUUUAUGGAUUAUAGUUUAAUGUUCUUAUCUGGUACUGGCCCUGACUCAGUACAUGCUAUCAUGACAGACAGACAUCUCAACACUAGUGUCUAAUCAGAACUGAAAAACAGUCAGUCUGCUGUUGUGUCAGUCUUCUCGCCUCCAUCCGGGACACGUGUUUUUUUCCCCC